AGCAAUCCAUGAGUAAAGUGGCGUACGGGUGAGUAACACGUGACUAACCUACCCUCGAGUGGGGAAUAACUCGCCGAAAGGCGAGCUAAUACCGCAUAACACUUACGGGUCAAAGCAGCAAUGCGCUUGAGGAGGGGGUCGCGGCCGAUUAGCUAGUUGGCGGGGUAAUGGCCCACCAAGGCGAUGAUCGGUAUCCGGCCUGAGAGGGCGCACGGACACACUGGAACUGAAACACGGUCCAGACUCCUACGGGAGGCAGCAGUGGGGAAUUUUGCGCAAUGGGGGAAACCCUGACGCAGCAACGCCGCGUGGAGGAUGAAAUCCCUUGGGAUGUAAACUCCUUUCGAUCGGGACGAUUAUGACGGUACCGGAAGAAGAAGCCCCGGCUAACUUCGUGCCAGCAGCCGCGGUAAUACGAGGGGGGCGAGCGUUGUUCGGAAUUAUUGGGCGUAAAGGGCGCGUAGGCGGUUUAGCAAGUCUUAUGUGAAAUCUUCGGGCUCAACUCGAAGCCUGCAUGAGAAACUGCUGGGCU
rnacentral:rRNA from 1 species